GUGGGGAAUUUUGGACAAUGGGCGCAAGCCUGAUCCAGCAAUGCCGCGUGCAGGAAGAAGGCCUUCGGGUUGUAAACUGCUUUUGUACGGAACGAAACGGUCCGGGUUAAUACCCUGGGCUAAUGACGGUACCGUAAGAAUAAGCACCGGCUAACUUCGUGCCAGCAGCCGCGGUAAUACGUAGGGUGCGAGCGUUAAUCGGAAUUACUGGGCGUAAAGCGUGCGCAGGCGGUGCUGUAAGACAGGCGUGAAAUCCCCGGGCUCAACCUGGGAAUUGUGCUUGUGACUGCAGUGCUGGAGUACGGCAGAGGGGGAUGGAAUUCCGCGUGUAGCAGUGAAAUGCGUAGAUAUGCGGAGGAACACCGAUGGCGAAGGCAGUCCCCUGGGCCUGUACUGACGCUCAUGCACGAAAGCGUGGGGAGCAAACAGGAUUAGAUACCCGGGUAGUCC
rnacentral:rRNA from 1 species